rnacentral:rRNA from 1 species
UACGUAGGGGGCAAGCGUUGUCCGGAUUUAUUGGGCGUAAAGAGCGUGUAGGCGGUUUGGUAGGUCCGCUGUGAAAACUCGAGGCUCAACCUCGAGACGCCGGUGGAAACCAUCAGACUAGAGUCCGGAAGAGGAGAGCGGAAUUCCUGGUGUAGCGGUGAAAUGCGCAGAUAUCAGGAAGAACACCCGUGGCUAAGGCGGCUCUCUAGUACGGUACUGACGCUGAGACGCGAAAGCGUGGGGAGCAAACAGG